AUUGAACGCUGGCGGCAGGCCUAACACAUGCAAGUCGAGCGGAGCGGCGGACGGGUGAGUAAUGCCUAGGAAUCUGCCUGGUAGUGGGGGAUAACGUCCGGUAAUGGGCGCUAAUACCGCAUACUAUCAGAUGAGCCUAGGGCGGAUUAGCUAGUUGGUGGGGUAAAGGCCUACCAAGGCGACGAUCCGUAACUGGUCUGAGGGGAUGAUCAGUAACAGUGGAACUGGAACAGGGUCCAGACUCCUACGGUGGGCGGCAGUGGGAAAUAUUGGAAAAGGGGCGAAGGCCUAAGCCGGCCAGGCGGGGGGUGUAAGGAGGGUCUUCGGAUGGUAAAUAACUUUAGGGUGGAAGGGGUUACCGACAAAAUAGGCACCGGCAAACUUCGUGCCAGAGGCGGCGGAAAUU
rnacentral:rRNA from 1 species